rnacentral:lncRNA from 1 species
GGAACAAUAAGGAUCCCAAGUAGUAUAUUAUAAACAAACACUUCCAAGCUGCUUACAAUAGAUCUGGAACUUGAAGGAACAGAAACGAUACAAAAGCAUUAAUAAGGAUAAAGAAGGUGAUGAGGAUGAGAAGAUUACAGAGAUGAGAAUAAGAAAUUGCUAUAACUUGUUGCCUACCCUACUCAUCCUUAUUUUAGCUACUUAUACUAGCUCUCAGUACUUGUGUUGCCCUUCACGUGCUUUGCCCCAUUCACAACAUAAUCAAUUAAUUUCUUAGGUGCAGUCCUCACACGCGUGCUUCUCCUUGGUGCCCCACUCAAG